rnacentral:rRNA from 1 species
AGAAUCAACGCUGGCGGCGUGCCUAACACAUGCAAGUCGAACGAGAAAGUGGAGCAAUCCAUGAGUAAAGUGGCGACCGGGUGAGUAACACGUGACUAACCUACCUUCGAGUGGGGGAUAACCUCGGGAAACCGAGGCUAAUACCGCAUAACAUCGCAAGAUCAAAGCAGCAAUGCGCUGGAAGAGGGGGUCGCGGCUGAUUAGCUAGUUGGCGGGUAACGCCCACAAGGCGAAGAUCGGUA